rnacentral:rRNA from 1 species
UGCGGAGGAUCAUUAUAGUACAAAACGUGUGAGGCAGGCAAGGGCUGUCGCUGACUUUUGGAGGGAUUCAAAGUUGUGCACGCCCGAGUGUGCUCUCUCACAUGAAAUCCAUCUCACCCUUUUGUGCAUCACCGCGUGGGCUCCCUUCGGGAGCUCACGUUUUUCACACAAACCCCUUUGUAAAAGUGUAGAAUGUCCUACUUUUUGCUAUAAAAUGCAAACAAUACAACUUUCAACAACGGAUCUCUUGGCUCUCGCAUCGAUGAAGAACGCAGCGAAAUGCGAUACGUAAUGUGAAUUGCAGAAUUCAGUGAAUCAUCGAAUCUUUGAACGCACCUUGCGCCCCUUGGUAUUCCGAGGGGCACACCCGUUUGAGUGUCGUGAAAUUCUCAACCUUCUUGGUUUCUUAUGGACACCAAAGAAGGCUUGGACUUUGGAGGCCUUUGCUGGCAUCUCUUUUACGGAAACCCAGCUCCUCUCAAAUGAAUUAGCGGGGUCCUCUUUGCCGAUCCUCGACAUGUGAUAAGAUGCUUUCCGUGUCAUGGCUUCUGGCUCUGUUGCUUUUGGGACCUGCUUCUAAUCGUCUCACCUUGUGGAGACAAUGCUCGAGCCUCUCUCGACCCCACGAACCCUUGACCUCAAAUCGGGUGAGACUACCCGCUGAACUUAAGCAUAUC